rnacentral:lncRNA from 1 species
CAGGAUGCGUGCCCCCUCCCUGUGGGGCCAGCUGCCCCGACCAAGCUGGGCACAGAGCUAGGCUUCCGGCAGCCGCAGAGGAGCUGGGGCCGGUGGGGCUGAGACAUUGGCCAUCUCUGAUCUUGUGGGUGAAGCUCAAGGUCCCCUUUGGGGCCGGGACCAGACCCAUGCGGGACCCCUCUCCCUGAUACGGCUGCCAGGAGGGCCCAGGGGUGCAGGGACACCCUUCUGCUGGGUCCAACCUUAACUGUGCAUUUUCCAUCACUAUGAAAGGGAGCAAAACAGUAAACCCGGAACAGUCUGCCACCAUCUGUGUCUCCACUGGGUGGUCCCCCUCGUCCCUGGGCUGCGCAUGGCUGACACCUCCCCAUCCCCACCCUGUCUUCCAUCCCCCUCCCACCAGCACCACAAGGGACUUCCAGAAUCUCGGGAUUCAACAGCCACUUGAAUUCCUCAGGUUGGACACUGAGGGUGCUGUCCUCUUUGCUGUUAGCCUCAGGCUGCACAGAAAGUCCUGUCUGUUUGUGGCCAGGAGCCAGGAGCUUCUUCCGGGUCUCCCACGUGGGUGCAGGGACCCAAGCACUUGGACCAUCUUCUACUGCUUUCCCAGGCCAUCAGCAGAGAGCUGGGUGCAACAGGAAAAAAAGAUCAGAUACCAUUUGGGGGGCGGGGGAGUCAGUUGCUGUUUAGGUUCUGAGCCCACUGACGUGUGUGGAUGGCUGAGGUCCAUUUGUCCUCCCUGGGGCCCCUCCAGACCCAGGGCAGGAGAGGAGGGGUCCUGGGGAAACAUGGGGUCCACCAAGGCUGUCCUCUGCGGGACUUCUCAGUGCCUUUACAAUCAGAUGGAGGUGCGCAUAAGCAAUGGGCAGGUAGCCCGACUGGGGACCCCCCGCAGGGUGGGGGCUGCCAUCUUCCCACUGUUCCCAGGGCCCUAUCCAGGGGUUGGGGUGGGGCUGGGGAACACUGAGAAGGGGGCGUCCCUGUCCCCAGUCCUCUCUGGUCUCCACUAGACAGGGCUUCCUGGUGGCACCCAACAGAGGCUGCACUGAUUAGAGGGACCACCAGGUGGUGCUCCGC